GGUAUGGUAUUACAACUAGACAGUAAAUACAGGUAGUUACAGGUAUGGUAUUACAACUAGACAUUAAAUACAGGUAGUUAAAGGUAGUUACAGGUAUGGUAUUACAACUAGACAGUAAAUACAGGUAGUUACAGGUAGUUACAGGUAUGGUAUUACAACUAGACAGUAAAUACAGGUAGUUACAGGUAUGGUAUUACAACUAGACAGUAAACACAGGUAGUUACAGGUAUGGUAUUACAACUAGACAGUAAAUACAGGUAGUUACAGGUAUGGUAUUACAACUAGACAGUAAAUACAGGUAGUUACAGGUAUGGUAUUACAACUAGACAGUAAACACAGGUAGUUACAGGUAGGGUAUUACAACUAGACAGUAAAUACAGGUAGUUACAGGUAGUUACAGGUAUGGUAUUACAACAAGACAGUAAAUACAGGUAGUUACAGGUAUGGUAUUACAACUAGACAGUAAAUACAGGUAGUUACAGGUAUGGUAUUACAACUAGACAGUAAACGCAGGUAGUUACAGGUAUGGUAUUACAACUAGACAGUAAAUACAGGUAGUUACAGGUAGUUACAGGUAUGGUAUUACAACUAGACAGCAAAUACAGGUAGUUACAGGUAGUUACAGGUAUGGUAUUACAACUAGACAUUAAAUACAGGUAGUUAAAGGUAGUUACAGGUAUGGUAUUACAACUAGACAGUAAAUACAGGUAGUUACAGGUAUGGUAUUACAACUAGACAUUAAAUACAGGUAGUUACAGGUAUGGUAUUACAACUAGACAUUAAAUACAGGUAGUUAAAGGUAGUUACAGGUAUGGUA